rnacentral:lncRNA from 1 species
GAAGAUAGCUUUUUCCGAUUAUCUAACGCCAUGCGCUUUUCCUUCUUUAUGAGAAUUCACAGACAUACUGGCUUGUAAACCACUAUUGACAAUAGUUUCACGUUAGAAGUUUAGGGGAAUAGCACCAACUUAAAAUGGGAGGAGUCCCUCAUUUCCUAGGCUAGCUUUUGGGGUACAGAAAAACUUCCUCCCGAUUGGACCAGCAUCUUCCGGUUUUAGGCCAACAACCACCUGCAAAGGAUAUUUAACCAAUAUAUUCUCAAAAACAUAGCAUUUUUGAAUUAUCUACCAGCACACACUCAUCAUUCUUUAUGAGCACUAUGCAUGAGGUGGUGCUGGGUUGGAGCGGCCAUGGACCAGGCUAAGCCGGUGGUGGGGACGAGAAGGGACUCUGCGGCGGCGUGGAUCAGGCUAGGUUUUCCCACGAAGAAGCAAUAGAUUGGGAGUAGCUGGAUGGGGAAUUGGAUAGAGAUGACG